AUCCCAUGAUGAGGACAUGCGAGUAUGUAUUCUAGUAGUCUCUCCCAAGCUUCUGGGAUGGAUCCAUCCCUGUCUGCCGGAAACUUGUAAUUCUUCCGUGUAGGGC